GUCGGUCUGACAAGAGGUAAUUUCUCCUUAGAGGAGUAGGUGAGGACGCGUUCCCCGUUGAGGGAAUAGUAGACGUCGGUUCGACCUAGGAUUUUCGGGAAAUCCAAAAAGUCAGAACCGAACAGUUCGAAAACUAUCAAUCACUUAUAUUAUUCAUAUUUUAUUGUGCUAACUUUGUUUUGCAGGUAUACUUUGUUUGUGGACUAAUAUGCCUUGCAGGAAGGGAGUUGUACAAGGAAAAGCUCGGAUGAACAUUGUCCGAGGCCCCUCCAGGGCUGUUGGAGGCGCCUCGGGUGCCUUAGUCGAAGGCCUUGUGCAGCAAGGUGCGAAGGUGCCUUGGAUGCUGGUGGAAGGCGCCUUCUAUGGAGCUUGAAGGCGCCUUCAGACAGAUACAAUUCGCAGAAAGCGGAAUUUAUCGACGACAGAAUCUGCGGGGAUAAGUGCUUAGCUGGAGGCGCCUUCCAUGGAGCUUGAAGGCGCCUUCAACAACCUAUAUAGGGUAGUCUCGAGCCGAGCCUCUAUAACACUGACUUUUGCGAUCAUUCUACGACACACUCCUCUAAAAGACGAUUUUGCGACUCUGUGACGCAACUCCGGCGACCGAGCGAUGCGACUCCGACGAUCGAAAGCACGACCUUCUAAGAUCCUCAAAAGUUGUCAGUAUAUGUUUAAUUGUUGCACUUAAUUAAUUAUACUUCAAGUUGUAAUUCUUCGAAUCUAUAGUGAUUGCCCAACGAAAGCGAUCGACGAUCGCAGAUCUUGGAGUAGGAGUCGCCACAUGCUCCGAACCAAGUAAAGAAAAGUAUUAGCGCUUGUUUUGCUUCCGCUUUAUUUCGUAUUUCCGUUGCAUUACUCUGUGCUUUCCGAAACGAGUGUACUAUGUGCUUUCCAAAACGAGUGCUAUUCACCCCCCCAGCGCAUCUCGAUCCUACAGUUAACAACCUUUUCUAUCUUGGUCUUUGAGCAUGUGUUGUCUCCAAACCAUAAUAAAUGUUCUUAAACCCAAGAUUAAAUCUCUGAUAGUGCUGUUAUACAGAUUUGAAGUCCUGAUAUUUGGCAGAAAGUUAUAUUACUACAAACUCUUUUUCAUUAUACCAUUUCUUUGAUAGUUGACUGUACAAUGCAGUUUUUUACAUGCCACUCUAUAUGUAAGCAUUCUCCCAUCACUUGUUUUGCUUGCCCAUUCAAUCUUGUGCCUUUCUGAAUUUAUUAUCAGUUAUUUGAUUACUUUACACGAGGCAAAAUGUGACAAUUGCUCAUGACUUGUGUGUUCUUAUUGUGUACCUUCAGAGCAGGACAUUUUGACAGAUCUACAUAUAAUGAUAGUGAUCUUCGGUCUGCGUACCAUAUUCGUGAAUAUGAUGUAAUGUAGUGCAAGCAAAUUAGGGACCCAAUAGAUAUUUUCAUAUCACAUCACAUGACUGGCCUGUUGGUAUCUAUGAAUAUGGAAAUCUGUAGAGUCUUGUUCAAGAUAAACCAUUUUCUAAAGAAGAGAUCCAGAAUCGAACUCUUGGUAGUAUGCCUGCUGCUGAGCUUCUGAGCCAACUGAAACCUCAGUAUUGGUUUUCAUCUCAUCUUCACUUCAAAUUUUCAGCUGUUGUUAAAAGCAAGGAGGAUGGAUGGUUCUGUAACAAAGUUCCUAACUCUUGACAAAUGCCUUCCUGGUCGGAGUUUUUUACAGGUUUUCAGCACAUCACAAUCAAGCUUAGCGUUGGCUGGGCGGUUGAUGAAGAAAUGGGCCUUCUUUCUGUUACCAGAGGCUACUCUAACUAAAGAAAUUAGCCAUUUAUUUCAGAUUCCCCCUUAAACCUAUCAACCCAUAAGCCUCCUGUCUCUUAGAAAUGUGCGUAUUAAAAGAGUCGAUUUAAGCAGGGUCAUAACUAUUGUGUUGACUAGUCACUUCUACAUUGUUUUCACGUGUUUUGUUAAAUUACCUCAUAAGGCACGUAAGCAGCUUUGUU